ACCGUAAACAAUUAAUUUACACCAAUCAGCGCCAGGGAAUUACGAGCAAUGCUUAAAACCCAAAGGAUUUGACGGUGCCCCACCCAACUAGAGGAGCCUGUUCUAUAAUCGAUAAUCCCCGCUACACCUGACCAUUUCUCGCCUUCAGUCUGUAUACCUCCGUCGAAAGCUUACCAUGUGAACGUUUACAGUAAGCCUAAUGACUCACACGUCAACACGUCAGGUCAAGGUGCAGCUUAAGAAAUGGGAAGCAAUGGGCUACAAUUUCUAAUUUAGAACAAACGGAAGACUAUGUGAAACCCUAGUCUCAAGGUGGAUUUAGUAGUAAAAAGAAAAUAAAGUGUUCUUUUUAACCUGGCUCUGGGACGCGUACACACCGCCCGUCACCCUCUUCGAUAGUAUAUUCUUCUGUUCCUAACUAACUACUCACGUUUUAGAAAAGGUAAGUCGUAACAUGGUAAGUGUACUGGAAAGUGCACUUGGUAA
rnacentral:rRNA from 1 species